rnacentral:rRNA from 1 species
AAAUUGAAGAGUUUGAUCAUGGCUCAGAUUGAACGCUGGCGGCAGGCCUAACACAUGCAAGUCGAACGGUAACAGGAAGAAGUUUGCUUCUUUGCUGACGAGUGGCGGACGGGUGAGUAAUGUCUGGGAAACUGCCUGAUGGAGGGGGAUAACUACUGGAAA